rnacentral:rRNA from 1 species
AACGUAGGAGGCAAGCGUUAUCCGGAGUUACUGGGCGUAAAGCGCAUGUAGGCGGUUGGGCAAGUGGCGUGUGAAAGCUCCCGGCUAAACUGGGAGACGGACAGGUCAGAGCUGCCGCAAACUGGAGUCCGAUAGAGGAGCGUAGAAUUCCGGGUGUAGCGGUGAAAUGUGUAGAGAUCCGGAGGAAUACCAGUGGCGCAAGCGGCGCUCUGGGUCGGGACUGACGCUGAGAUGCGAAAGCGUGGGGAGCGAACGGG